rnacentral:miRNA from 1 species
GGAGGAUUGCUUAAGCUCAGGAGGUUGAGGCUGCUGUGAGCUGUGAUUGUGCCACUACACUCCAGCCUGAGUGACAGAGCAAGACCCUGUCU